rnacentral:rRNA from 1 species
UUAAGCGACUAAGCGUACACGGUGGAUGCCCUGGCAGUCAGAGGCGAUGAAGGACGUGCUAAUCUGCGAAAAGCGUCGGUAAGGUGAUAUGAACCGUUACAGCCGGCGAUGUCCGAAUGGGGAAACCCAGUGCAAUUCGUUGCACUAUCGUUUGAUGAAUACAUAGUCAAACGAGGCGAACCGGGGGAACUGAAACAUCUAAGUACCCCGAGGAAAAGAAAUCAACCGAGAUUCCCCCAGUAGCGGCGAGCGAACGGGGAGCAGCCCGGAGUCUGAAUCAGCUUGUGUGUUAGUGGAAGCGUCUGGAAAGUCGCAGGGUACAGGGUGAUACUCCCGUACACUAAAACGCACAGGUUGUGAACUCGAAGAGUAGGGCGGGACACGUGGUAUCCUGUCUGAAUAUGGGGGGACCAUCCUCCAAGGCUAAAUACUCCUGACUGACCGAUAGUGAACCAGUACCGUGAGGGAAAGGCGAAAAGAACCCCGGCGAGGGGAGUGAAAAAGAACCUGAAACCGUGUACGUACAAGCAGUAGGAGCCCACUUGUUGGGUGACUGCGUACCUUUUGUAUAAUGGGUCAGCGACUUAUAUUCUGUAGCAAGGUUAACCGUAUAGGGGAGCCGCAGGGAAACCGAGUCUUAACUGGGCGUUAAGUUGCAGGGUAUAGACCCGAAACCCGGUGAUCUAGCCAUGGGCAGGUUGAAGGUUGGGUAACACUAACUGGAGGACCGAACCGACUAAUGUUGAAAAAUUAGCGGAUGACUUGUGGCUGGGGGUGAAAGGCCAAUCAAACCGGGAGAUAGCUGGUUCUCCCCGAAAGCUAUUUAGGUAGCGCCUCGUGAACUCAUCUUCGGGGGUAGAGCACUGUUUCGGCUAGGGGGUCAUCCCGACUUACCAACCCGAUGCAAACUACGAAUACCGAAGAAUGUUAUCACGGGAGACACACGGCGGGUGCUAACGUCCGUCGUGAAGAGGGAAACAACCCAGACCGCCAGCUAAGGUCCCAAAGUCAUGGUUAAGUGGGAAACGAUGUGGGAAGGCUCAGACAGCCAGGAUGUUGGCUUAGAAGCAGCCAUCAUUUAAAGAAAGCGUAAUAGCUCACUGGUCGAGUCGGCCUGCGCGGAAGAUGUAACGGGGCUAAACCAUGCACCGAAGCUGCGGCAGCGACACUAUGUGUUGUUGGGUAGGGGAGCGUUCUGUAAGCCGUUGAAGGUGGCCUGUGAGGGUUGCUGGAGGUAUCAGAAGUGCGAAUGCUGACAUAAGUAACGAUAAUGCGGGUGAAAAACCCGCACGCCGGAAGACCAAGGGUUCCUGUCCAACGUUAAUCGGGGCAGGGUGAGUCGACCCCUAAGGCGAGGCCGAAAGGCGUAGUCGAUGGGAAACAGGUUAAUAUUCCUGUACUUGGUGUUACUGCGAAGGGGGGACGGAGAAGGCUAUGUUGGCCGGGCGACGGUUGUCCCGGUUUAAGCGUGUAGGUGUGUGUUCCAGGUAAAUCCGGUUCACUUUAACACUGAGGCGUGAUGACGAGGCACUACGGUGCUGAAGUGACAAAUGCCCUGCUUCCAGGAAAAGCCUCUAAGCAUCAGGUAACAUCAAAUCGUACCCCAAACCGACACAGGUGGUCAGGUAGAGAAUACCAAGGCGCUUGAGAGAACUCGGGUGAAGGAACUAGGCAAAAUGGUGCCGUAACUUCGGGAGAAGGCACGCUGAUAUGUAGGUGAAGUGGUUUACCCAUGGAGCUGAAAUCAGUCGAAGAUACCAGCUGGCUGCAACUGUUUAUUAAAAACACAGCACUGUGCAAACACGAAAGUGGACGUAUACGGUGUGACGCCUGCCCGGUGCCGGAAGGUUAAUUGAUGGGGUUAUCCGUAAGGAGAAGCUCUUGAUCGAAGCCCCGGUAAACGGCGGCCGUAACUAUAACGGUCCUAAGGUAGCGAAAUUCCUUGUCGGGUAAGUUCCGACCUGCACGAAUGGCGUAAUGAUGGCCAGGCUGUCUCCACCCGAGACUCAGUGAAAUUGAACUCGCUGUGAAGAUGCAGUGUACCCGCGGCAAGACGGAAAGACCCCGUGAACCUUUACUAUAGCUUGACACUGAACACUGGUCCUUGAUGUGUAGGAUAGGUGGGAGGCUUUGAAGUGUGGACGCCAGUCUGCAUGGAGCCAUCCUUGAAAUACCACCCUUUAAUGGCUGGUGUUCUAACGUGGGCCCGUAAUCGGGGUUGCGGACAGUGUCUGGUGGGUAGUUUGACUGGGGCGGUCUCCUCCUAAAGAGUAACGGAGGAGCACGAAGGUCAGCUAAUCCUGGUCGGACAUCAGGAGGUUAGUGCAAUGGCAUAAGCUGGCUUGACUGCGAGCGUGACGGCGCGAGCAGGUGCGAAAGCAGGUCAUAGUGAUCCGGUGGUUCUGAAUGGAAGGGCCAUCGCUCAACGGAUAAAAGGUACUCCGGGGAUAACAGGCUGAUACCGCCCAAGAGUUCAUAUCGACGGCGGUGUUUGGCACCUCGAUGUCGGCUCAUCACAUCCUGGGGCUGAAGUAGGUCCCAAGGGUAUGGCUGUUCGCCAUUUAAAGUGGUACGCGAGCUGGGUUUAGAACGUCGUGAGACAGUUCGGUCCCUAUCUGCCGUGGGCGCUGGAGAAUUGAGGGGGGCUGCUCCUAGUACGAGAGGACCGGAGUGGACGCAUCACUGGUGUUCGGGUUGUCAUGCCAAUGGCAUUGCCCGGUAGCUAAAUGCGGAAGAGAUAAGUGCUGAAAGCAUCUAAGUACGAAACUUGCCCCGAGAUGAGUUCUCCCUGACUCUUUGAGGGUCCUGAAGGAACGUUGAAGACGACGACGUUGAUAGGCCGGGUGUGUAAGCGCAGCGAUGCGUUGAGCUAACCGGUACUAAUGAACCGUGAGGCUUAACCUU